GCUCGCUCGGGGUUGCCGGCCACGCUCCCAGCCUGCCGCCCUGCGAGCUCAGCAGCCCUGCCAGAGACAGCACGUGCCAGCCUGGCCAGUGAGAGCGGCCUGGCCCGGGUUCCUAGCGCUGCGCUGGCCGGGCCAGCCCCACACUCCCCUCUCAGCCGGCCGAGCCGACCAACGGCCCAGGCGUCCGUACUCCGUCGGCGGGAUGCUGGGGAUUUGAAGUGCAGCCCUUUGUUUCCCCGCCCGUCAGAUCCAGUCCGUUCGGCGGGAAAAGGCUGAUUUGCUGGAGCAAAACGUUUCAUCACCUAAUUUACAAGAGAGCAGGUAGAAGACCAAGGCCCUGCGGAUGUUGAGGGAUUGAAGGUGCCAUUCCUCCGCUGAUGCAUGAAGUUUCGGGAAGAAAGCAGAUCCAACAGGUAAAUCCAGGAUGACUGAAAGUAUCUUCGACUCAGGCAGGAGGCAGUGAGGACAACAUCAAUGGAAGAAUCUCUUCCAUUUCUGCAGCUGCAGACCCAACUCCUGGAACAGAGCAAGGGCUGUCUGGGAGGAAGAUAGCACUGCUUCACAAGAACAGCCCUUGAGUAGCCAGUUGUUGAGGUACAGGAAGACUAGGAUCGCUUUUUGUUGGAGGUGUAUAUAUGCCCAGGGAUUGUAAAGUAGCCCUAGAAUCCUUCAGUGUGUGCAAGGACUCAUCUAUGGUCUCCAAGAAAAGUUUACAACCAUGAAGGGGAGGUCCUCCAAAGUGUUCUGUACUUCUCUCUGAAACUCCAAGAGUUGGAGCCAUGAUGCCCCGCAUAUAAAUCCACCAUGGAGAUGGACCUGGCAGCAGUGUCUGCCGCAUGUAAGGAUGCUUGAAGAGGAGUUCUGGCCAAUAAUUGGCCUUCAGAGAUGAUGGGCUGGAAUUGCUCCCUAUAUUACAGUGGCAGAUGUUCAA